rnacentral:misc_RNA from 1 species
GAAAUGCGAUAAGUAGUGUGAAUUGCAGAAUUCAGUGAAUCAUCGAAUCUUUGAACGCACAUUGGGCCCGCCAGUAUUCUGGCGGGCAUGCCUGUUCGAGCGUCAUUACAACCCUCAGGCCCCCGGGCCUGGCGUUGGGGAUCGGCGGAAGCCCCCUGCGGGCACAACGCCGUCCCCCAAAUACAGUGGCGGUCCCGCCGCAGCUUCCAUUGCGUAGUAGCUAACACCUCGCAACUGGAGAGCGGCGCGGCCACGCCGUAAAACACCCAACUUCUGAAUGUUGACCUCGAAUCAGGUAGGAAUACCCGCUGAACUUAAGC